rnacentral:rRNA from 1 species
GACGAACGCUGGCGGCGUGCUUAACACAUGCAAGUCGAGCGAGUGGAUUCCCUUCGGGGAUGAAGCUAGCGGCGGACGGGUGAGUAACACGUGGGCAACCUGCCUUAUAGAGGGGGAUAGCCUUCCGAAAGGAAGAUUAAUACCGCAUAACAUCAGAUUAUCGCAUGGUAGACUGAUCAAAGGAGCAAUCCACUAUAAGAUGGGCCCGCGUCGCAUUAGCUAGUUGGUGAGGUAACGACUCACCAAGGCGACGAUGCGUAGCCGACCUGAGAGGGUGAUCGGCCACAUUGGGACUGAGACACGGCCCAGACUCCUACGGGAGGCAGCAGUGGGGAAUACUGCACAAUGGGGGAAACCCUGAUGCAGCAACGCCGCGUGAGUGAUGAAGGCCUCCGGGUUGUAAAGCUCUUUGAUCAGGGACGAUAAUGACGGCACCUGAAGAACAAGCCACGGCUAACUACGUGCCAGCAGCCGCAGUAACAC